rnacentral:rRNA from 1 species
UACGUAGGGGGCUAGCGUUGUCCGGAAUCAUUGGGCGUAAAGCGCGUGUAGGCGGCCCGGUAAGUCCGCUGUGAAAGUCGGGGGCUCAACCCUGGAAUGCCGGUGGAUACUGUCGGGCUAGAGUCCGGAAGAGGCGAGUGGAAUUCCUGGUGUAGCGGUGGAAUGCGCAGAUAUCAGGAGGAACACCGAUGGCGAAGGCAGCUCGCUGGGACGGUACUGACGCUGAGGCGCGAAAGCGUGGGGAGCGAACAGG